UGGGGAAUAUUGCACAAUGGAGGGAACUCUGAUGCAGCGACGCCGCGUGAGUGAUGAAGGAAUUCGUUUCGUAAAACUCUGUUCUAUGGGAAGAAAAGGACUGUACCAUAGGAGAAAGCUCCGGCUAAAUACGUGCCAGCAGCCGCGGUAAUACGUAUGGAGCGAGCGUUGUCCGGAAUUAUUGGGCGUAAAGGGUGCGCAGGCGGCUUUACAAGUUGGAUGUGAAAUAUUGUGGCUCAACCACAAACGUGCAUCCAAAACUGCAAAGCUUGAGUUAAGGAGAGGUAAGUGGAAUUCCUGGUGUAGCGGUGGAAUGCGUAGAUAUCAGGAGGAAUACCGGUGGCGAAGGCGACUUACUGGACUUAAACUGACGCUCAGGCACGAAAGCGUGGGUAGCAAACAGG
rnacentral:rRNA from 1 species